rnacentral:rRNA from 1 species
AUUGAACGCUGGCGGCAGGCCUAACACAUGCAAGUCGAGCGGUAACACAGGGAGCUUGCUCCCGGGUGACGAGCGGCGGACGGGUGAGUAAUGUCUGGGAAACUGCCUGAUGGAGGGGGAUAACUACUGGAAACGGUAGCUAAUACCGCAUAAUGUCGCAAGACCAAAGAGGGGGACCUUCGGGCCUCUUGCCAUCAGAUGUGCCCAGAUGGGAUUAGCUAGUAGGUGGGGUAACGGCUCACCUAGGCGACGAUCCCUAGCUGGUCUGAGAGGAUGACCAGCCACACUGGAACUGAGACACGGUCCAGACUCCUACGGGAGGCAGCAGUGGGGAAUAUUGCACAAUGGGCGCAAGCCUGAUGCAGCCAUGCCGCGUGUAUGAAGAAGGCCUUCGGGUUGUAAAGUACUUUCAGCGGGGAGGAAGGUGUUGAGGUUAAUAACCUCAGCAAUUGACGUUACCCGCAGAAGAAGCACCGGCUAACUCCGUGCCAGCCGCCGCAGUAAUAC